rnacentral:rRNA from 1 species
UACGUAGGGGGCAAGCGUUAUCCGGAUUUACUGGGUGUAAAGGGAGCGUAGACGGCGAUGCAAGUCUGAAGUGAAAGGCGGGGGCCCAACCCCUGGACUGCUUUGGAAACUGUAUGGCUGGAGUGCAGGAGAGGUAAGUGGAAUUCCUAGUGUAGCGGUGAAAUGCGUAGAUAUUAGGAGGAACACCAGUGGCGAAGGCGGCUUACUGGACUGUAACUGGCGUUGAGGCUCGAAAGCGUGGGGAGCAAACAGG